rnacentral:rRNA from 1 species
GAUGAACGCUAGCGGGAGGCCUAACACAUGCAAGCCGAGCGGUAUUGUUUCUUCGGAAAUGAGAGAGCGGCGUACGGGUGCGGAACACGUGUGCAACCUGCCUUUAUCUGGGGGAUAGCCUUUCGAAAGGAAGAUUAAUACUCCAUAAUAUAUUGAACGGCAUCGUUUAAUAUUGAAAGCUCCGGCGGAUAGAGAUGGGCACGCGCAAGAUUAGCUAGUUGGUGAGGUAACGGCUCACCAAGGCGAUGAUCUUUAGGGGGCCUGAGAGGGUGAUCCCCCACACUGGUACUGAGACACGGACCAGACUCCUACGGGAGGCAGCAGUGAGGAAUAUUGGUCAAUGGGUGCAAGCCUGAACCAGCCAUCCCGCGUGAAGGACGACUGCCCUAUGGGUUGUAAACUUCUUUUGUAUAGGGAUAAACCUACCCUCGUGAGGGUAGCUGAAGGUACUAUACGAAUAAGCACCGGCUAACUCCGUGCCAGCAGCCGCGGUAAUACGGAGGGUGCAAGCGUUAUCCGGAUUUAUUGGGUUUAAAGGGUCCGUAGGCGGACUUAUAAGUCAGUGGUGAAAGCCUGUCGCUUAACGAUAGAACUGCCAUUGAUACUGUAAGUCUUGAGUAUAUUUGAGGUAGCUGGAAUAAGUAGUGUAGCGGUGAAAUGCAUAGAUAUUACUUAGAACACCAAUUGCGAAGGCAGGUUACCAAGAUAUAACUGACGCUGAGGGACGAAAGCGUGGGGAGCGAACAGGAUUAGAUACCCUGGUAGUCCACGCCGUAAACGAUGCUAACUCGUUUUUGGGCUUUAGGGUUCAGAGACCAAGCGAAAGUGAUAAGUUAGCCACCUGGGGAGUACGCUCGCAAGAGUGAGACUCAAAGGAAUUGACGGGGGCCCGCACAAGCGGUGGAUUAUGUGGUUUAAUUCGAUGAUACGCGAGGAACCUUACCAAGACUUAAAUGGGAAUUGACAGCUUUAGAAAUAGAGCUUUCUUCGGACAAUUUUCAAGGUGCUGCAUGGUUGUCGUCAGCUCGUGCCGUGAGGUGUUAGGUUAAGUCCUGCAACGAGCGCAACCCCUGUCACUAGUUGCCAUCAUUCAGUUGGGGACUCUAGUGAGACUGCCUACGCAAGUAGAGAGGAAGGUGGGGAUGACGUCAAAUCAUCACGGCCCUUACGUCUUGGGCCACACACGUAAUACAAUGGCCGGUACAGAGGGCAGCUACACAGCGAUGUGAUGCAAAUCUCGAAAGCCGGUCUCAGUUCGGAUUGGAGUCUGCAACUCGACUCUAUGAAGCUGGAAUCGCUAGUAAUCGCGCAUCAGCCAUGGCGCGGUGAAUACGUUCCCGGGCCU